CUGGAUCGAUGUUUCUUUUUAAUUUUCUCUUCUUUCUGAUUCAGGCCCUAAAAGAUUUGCUGGAUGCUUGAGAAAGACAUGCUCUCUUGAUCUGAGAUUCCUGGAAACAAAUCAAAGCAUGUUCUCUUCAUUUCAGUGAUGAUGAUUUCGUCCCUUUCUGCUUUCGACUGUUGGAGAUGCUUUCAUUCUCCCCACCCCUCAGCCCCCCAAAACACAGAAAUGCACACUGUUCAGUCAUGGAAGAUGGAAAGUUUCUGCUUAUCUUGUCCUGACUGAGAAAAAAGUCUCCUGGCAAUUUUGAGCAACACUGUUGAAGGGCCACGAGGAGGUACCGUCGCUGACCAGAGAAGAUGAAGCACUCUGGGGAGAUCAACGGCCACUGGGGCCUGAACGGCUGUACAGUUUAGCACUGGGGAUUCUAUUUAGCAGUCUAAAUUGCAGUUGUUCCAUCUGUCCAAAGAGUAACAUGGCACACAGGAGUGGCUCACCUGUGUAAAAGGGCAUUAACAACUUCCCAGCUCUUGCAAGUUUAUGGCUAAAGCCCAGAGUAAAUGACUGCUAAGUGUUUAGAAGCGCUCAAGGCCUGACCGGUUCACGGAGUUGGGCAGACCGACGAAGGCCGCUGGUGGAGCCACAAGUGUCGCUAACAUGCCCUGGUUGCGGAGCUCGAGCGCACGGGCUUCAAGGGUGGCAGGGGAAAGUCCCGGCCGCCCUAUAUGCCAAGGCAAGCCAAGCCGCCAGCUAGCCCACUAUGACCUAUGGGCUAAACACUGCGGUUGCGCAGCGCAAGCCAUUACGUAACAACCAGGGGUCCUGCGCAUGCGGGAUUAUACUGCUGAGUCAUCCGGCGCCCGACCUCCGGCGAGGGGUCCUGCUGUCUCCGUUUCGCUACAGCCUCCAUCCCAGAAAAGGGCCGAAGCCAGUCAAAUACGUAAAACGAGAAGGAACCCGAAGCCCACAGCUCUGUUUCUCAUGAGUCGGGGGCGAACACCGUCUUGCCUUCACUCAGGCUGGCCUGUCUACUGGGGAACAAGCAGAAACACCUGUGAGGCAGGAACCCCUGAAGUGGAUAACGCAAGACGCUGCUUUUGUGAAGGCACCUAUUUUCAAGCGUUCCAGGUCCCGGAGCUGACUUGCUCUCUGGGCUGGUGGCUUGGCUCCGUGUGCAUGGAAUUGGAGAUUUCUACACCUGUAAAUUUACAGCCAGCAACGACUACCUUCUUCAGAUCUGUUAGUGGUAUGAGAUGACAGCCCACUGCCCAAGAUGUAACUGUUAGUCACACAGCUUUGGCAGCACCAGAAAAUCUUCCUGGAGAAGGCAAUCCCUUCCUGGUGGCAAGCUCUUCAUUUUG